rnacentral:piRNA from 1 species
UAAAGCAAGAGACUGUUCCCGUCUCCCUCC